UCAAGUGCCACUUUCAGCUUGGCUCCCUUUACCAUCUCUUUGUUUCUACUCAUAAUCUUCUUUUACAGCACUCUAUUUCAGCUUAACUUCCUUUCAAGCUUCAACUCUUGAAUUUCAUUUGCACUUGGACUACCAGGGAAGCAACUAAUAUCGUUGCGGGUAACAGAGCCGUAUUUGCUAUUUCUUGAUUACAAUCCAAUAUGGCUGAUGAAUAUGAGGACAGUACUACUGUCAGCUUGAAGGCCUUGCUGCACAAGGGAAGCAACAAAGUUAUUUUCGUAGUGUGGUAAUGAUUUUCUUGAUGUUCUCUUCAGUUUCUUGACUUUCCCAAUGGGAACAAUCAGCUUGGCAGUAAUCACUCAGUAGAAUCAGUACCAAUGCAAAUAGGGUGCAGGAAAAAUUUGUAUGCAAGUAUUGAGAAUAUUGAUGUUCAACAGUUUCACAAUGAGGUGUGUCGAGACAAAUUAUUAAGUCCUCGUAAUGCAGCUGAAUCUCAUUGCAAGGACCUCAAAUUGAAAAUUGACAUAGAAAAAGCAUGGAUAGGGAGUAUCACCUUUCCUGUUCAUCCUCCCCUGCUGAUCAAGAUAACGGCAACUUUGUAAAGGGAUUAGCCGGACUCAAUAGUUACUAGUGUUGCCCCCAUUAAGCGGUACAAGCUUUUCUUUCUUUACCAAGCUUGGAGUCACGGACGGAGACAUUACUGAAGAGAUAUUUAAUAUAGGUGUUAGUGAGGUAACUCAAUGUUGUCUGCCAAUUUUAUUUUUUUUGUUAGAACUGUCACUGUGUUGCAUUGCUGUUCAUUUAUAUCUUUUUCCAGGUUUUGAAUUUGCUCAUCUGCUCAUCUGUGUCAAAGACACCAUUGACUGAAACUCUAAAGCAUCAACCAGAACCAAUUUUAGCACUGAAAUAGUUGAUCA